UGGAAUUAGUGAAAAUCAACGACCUGGAAAUUAGAAUAAUGCAACAAGAAGUCUAGUCGAAAUCGAUGAACGUCGUCAAAGUAGUUGCGAGGAAUGUGUCCCCAGUCCCAGUCCCAGUCCCAGCCACCAACAACUCAACCUUUUCAAUAUCCUCUUUGUGUUCUGAUUCAGCAUUUCUCCUCCUUUCUCUUCUGAUUUCUCCCCUUCAACAAAGCCUCCUCCUCCAACUAUUCACCUUCAUUUUAUCAUGAAUAUUCAAGGAACAAAGCAAUUUCCUCUACAGUUGCCGAAAGAUGAAAUCAGCUGUGAAUAACAAAUAGUUCACGUUAGUCAUGAGAGCUCCCAGGGAAGCAAGAGCGAGUGAGGAAUAAAGGCAUGGUUAAAUAGCAGAGGGAAUUUUGUAGAGUGGUCGGACAUGGCUUCUUCGACCACCAACCAACCAACCGACCGACCGACCACUACACCUCUGAGAACACCUACCACAGACAGACGCAUGCCUUUGCAUGGCACCGUUAUACACGGCAUUCCUACGCGCAGUGGUGCACGCUCCAUCUAAGUGGUGUAAAACUGUGAAAGGAGUCACAGGCUGACCGUAGAGCACAGCUGAGAAUGCAUGUGUGGCCACCAGGCUGAGGGCUGAGCAGAGGCUAGCCUCCUGCCUCCUGCCUCCUGUCCGCUGCCUGCCACUGGAAUGUCUGCAAGGUCAGUGCCCCAAAGGAAUGCGGUCCUGUGAACCCCCUCCAUCACCCCCCAAACCAACCACCCCAUCCAAUCUGGAUCGCAAUCCUCAUGCCGGGGGCAGAGGGGCCGGCGGGUGGCGGCUAAACCGGAAACUGUACACGGCGAAAAGGGCACAAACGAUGCCAUUCUCUUAUUUUCGAUCUACUUUAGCACUCAUUCUUGAGAAACACGUGGAAAAUCUUCAUCUAACUUGCUCUCAUUAGGAUCGGAAAAAGUUUGGAAUAAUAAAUUAAUAACACAGGGUAUUAUACUACAAAGGGUGCUACACAAAGAGGAAUUAUAAAGAAUAGUUCUUCUAUGGUUUUAUUAAUUUUUAGAAUAGGUCCAAGGUAUAGAUUACGUUCAAUCAUAGAGUAAAUAUACCAUUUGGAUACCAAGAUUAUUUGUCGCUGAUGACUAAUUGUCAUCACAUUCAAUGUCAAUUCAUUCAUGAUGAUGUUGAUCACAUCUAAUUGUGGUUGGUGGAAAUAUAUGCGAUUGUUAUUUCUAAGAUGUUCCAUCUUGUAGAUAAUAAUUAUUGUCAAUAAAUUAAAUCAAAGAAUAGAUGAAAA